AACGAACGCUGGCGGCGUGCUUAACACAUGCAAGUCGAACGAGAAAGGCUCCUUCGGGAGCUGAGUAAAGUGGCGCACGGGUGAGUAACACGUGGGUAAUCUUCCCUCGGGUUUGGGAUAACACCCCGAAAGGGGUGCUAAUACCAAAUAAGACCACGUCCUCUUCGGAGGAUGAGGUAAAAGGUGGCCUCUCCAUGGAAGCUAUCACCUGAGGAUGAGCCCGCGGCCCAUCAGCUUGUUGGUGAGGUAACGGCCCACCAAGGCUAAGACGGGUAGCUGGUCUGAGAGGAUGAACAGCCACACUGGAACUGAGACACGGUCCAGACUCCUACGGGAGGCUG
rnacentral:rRNA from 1 species